rnacentral:rRNA from 1 species
AGCAGCCGCGGUAAUUCCAGCUCCAAUAGCGUAUAUUAAAGUUGUUGCAGUUAAAAAGCUCGUAGUUGAAUUUCGGGAUCAAUAUUUCGGUCAUGCCGUUGGUAUGCACUGUUAUCAUUGAUUUCUCACCUUCUAAAGAACCGUAAUGCCAUUAAUUUGGUGUUACGGGGAAUUAGGACUGUUACCUUGAAAAAAUUAGAGUGUUUAAAGCAGGCUCACGCUUGAAUACAUUAGCAUGGAAUAAUGAAAUAGGACAUCCGAUUCUAUUUUGUUGGUUUCUAGGAUCGAUGUAAUGAUUAAUAGGGAUAGUUGGGGGCACUAGUAUUCAAUUGUCAGAGGUGAAAUUCUUGGAUUUAUUGAAGACUAACUACUGCGAAAGCAUUUGCCAAGGAUGUUUUCAUUAAUCAAGAACGAAAGUUAGGGGAUCGAAGACGAUCAGAUACCGUCGUA